ensembl:lncRNA
AUGAAAUUAUNNNNNNNNNNNNNNNNNNNNNNNNNNNNNNNNNNNNNNNNNNNNNNNNNNNNNNNNNNNNNNNNNNNNNNNNNNNNNNNNNNNNNNNNNNNNNNNNNNNNNNNNNNNNNNNNNNNNNNNNNNNNNNNNNNNNNNNNNNNNNNNNNNNNNNNNNNNNNNNNNNNNNNNNNNNNNNNNNNNNNNNNNNNNNNNNNNNNNNNNNNNNNAUGUUACUGGACACGCUGGUCUGGUUGGUUAGACCAGUGUUUGAAGUGGAAAACACACACACACACACACACACACACACACACACACACACACACACCAAUUAAAAUAAUGCUGAUAGCGUGGACUAGAAGACAGGUGAUGGUUUACGUAUUUAAAUGAUGAUCAGGCUGCUGUAAAAUGUAAUCUCCAUCCACAUCCAGACACAAUUAUCCUCUAUUCUUUCUCUAUUUGCUCUGCUCUUGUCUGGGCUGACGUAGCUGAUGGUGCGCGCGGCGCGCCUAACUAGCGGCUGAUGCACAUUUUACGCAUUUGGAGAGGUGGGCUGGAUGCUUUGCUUUUACUGGAAGAUGGUCCACUUAACGCACGGGUGUAGACUACAUAUUAAUGACAAAUGAAUGAAAAUUAAAUUGUGAGUUUUUACUUCAUAUUUUAUAAAUAAAAAUGACGGGGGAACACAUUUAUGACGUCUUUUUAAACUAAAUUUUCUAGCGCGACCUGCCUGCUUCACUUAAGUCACUGCUUAUUAAGGUCCGUCCAAAAUUACCGUGGCCCACCCAAAAAUGAAAACCUGGCGCCGCGCCUGUUAUAAACCUCUGCAAAUUGUUGUUCUUCACUUUAUCAAACUCAGACUUUGUACAGCUAAUGUCAAGAUGUAAAAUUAUGAAUUCAGUCGAGCUCUUCCGUCCCUCCCUCUCCUGCUCUCCUGGAAACCCGACAUCGGCUGUCAGAAGUGGGAGGGGAAGAAGGAGAUGAGGCAAACAGAGUGAGUGCGACAUAGAGAAACCAGACUGGUGUGGAGGUGAGCAAAACAGCUGGAAAAGUGUGGGUGUUGAAUCCCCCACAUCCCCCAUGGGUGCGACGCUCAAUCCUCUCCCGCCUUUUCCUUUUCUGCAUCUUUGUUAUACUGAGUGAGGAAUAGGUAAAUAAAAGCUUGAUUCUGACAUGGAUCAUAAUAUGACUGAGGAAAUGGGGUUUUUUUGGGGGGUAAUAUCUGCUAAAAUAUUAAGAUAAAAUAUGUGUAAGCCUUUUCUGUGUUGGUACAUACCCGGUGUAUUUUCACCACAACAAGCCGAAUGUUGGACAAUGACCAAACAGGCAGGAUUUAUGGUGGGAAGCAAAUCGAUUGGUUGAAAGCCGGUUGUGUCAGAGCAACAGGAGAGGGAGGGAGGGAAGAGCCCCUGGAAGCCCUUGGGCUCUUCCCUCCCUCCCUCCCUCCCUCUCCUGCUGCUGCUUGAAACCGAAACCCGAGGCAAACAGACUGCGACGUAGAGACCAGACUGGUGUGGAGGUGAGCAAAACAGCUGGAAAAGUGAGGGUGUCAGUUGAACGAUCUCAAAAAGAAAAGUGUGGGUGUUGCAUCCCCCACAUCCCCCACGGGUGCGACGCCCAUGAGUCUGGGGACCACAGCAGCAGAUGACCUGUCACCUUUGACCUUUAGCCUGGUGCCACGCAACCAGUAGGCUUUGGUCACUGGACCUCAGGGACCUGCUGGGGGUGUAGGGACUGAGAUCACCUAUGCAUGACAUAAUUUUGAAUGUAAAUGUACAAUAAAUAAUUUUAUAUAAUUUUAUUUUGUAUAAUAACAAAACUAAAGUCUCAAUCAGGAGACAUUAGAUCAGGAUUUUCUCAAACAUGGUCCACUAAAACUGUUAGUGUGCACAUAGCAAGGUGCUGAUUAGAUGGCAUGAAUAUUGUACAGGUGCGCCUGAGGCUGUUUGGUCACACAGGUCAAUGCCACGGAUCUCAUAACCUUUGUAGGGGUGUGCAGCAGCCACCCAUGAGCUGUUACCCAUGACAUGAAUGUUCAGUUCUUUACCAUAACGUGUCUCCAAAGGCAUUUCAGAUCAUUUGGCAGCAGAUCCAACUGGCCUCACAACCACAGACCACCAGCCCAGGACCUCCACAUCCAGCAUGUUCACCUCCAGGAUUGUCUGAGACCCGUCACAUGGACAGCUGCAGCAACAAUCGGUUUGCAAAACCAAAUAAUUUCCACACAGACUGCCAGAAACCAUCUCAGGGAAGCUCAUCUGCAUGCCCGUUGUCCUCAUCGAGGUCUGGACCUGACUGCAGUUUGUCAUCAUAGCCGACUUGGGUGGGCAAACGCUCACAUUCAAAGAUGUCUGGCACGUUGAAGAGGUGUUGAGUUCACAGAUCACUCCAGGUUUUCACUGUUGAGGGCAGAUGGCAGACUGUGUAGUUGGCUUUGUUGGUGUGAGCACUCUGCUGAUGUCAGCGUUGUGGCCUAAGGUGGUGGUGUGGUCAUGGUAUGGGCAGGUGUGUGUUCUGGCCAACUAACAAGGGUGCAUUUGUUUGAUGGUGUUUUGAAAGCACAGACAUAGGGUGAUGAGAUCCUGAAGCCCGUUGUUACGUAGGAUGCUGCUGGCUAAACUGCUAUGCGGUUACCCAUCCACGUGGGCCAUCAGUACGCCUCUAACCCAUCCCAAAUGUCCUGUACUCAGAAUCUGAAUACGUUUACCUCAACACAUGUCGUUUUCACCAUGCCUUUAAUUACAGGGAACUUUAACCAGGAGACAUACCUUCCUGGUAAAUCUCCUGACUUCUCACAAUCACAACACUGAACCAUGCAAAGACUUCUCCCAACUUUCAGAAUAAAAGAUAAUAACGUGCUACGGGUACAACCACAGCAGUGUUUGGUACAACAGGUCAAAAUGAGCAAGCCCUGUGCAGAAAACCUAAAUGCACUUCUUCUGUGUCUGUGUUCUGAGACAGAAAGAAUAUCGCAUCAUUAUCAAGUGCUGCUUCCAAAAAGAAAUUAGGAGGGCAUGCUGGCUACCCCUGGGCAAUCCGUGAUAUAUAAAAAGAUCCAACACACCCCAUCAGAGUGAGUAAUCUCAUGGCUAAUGUCUAAUAUCUAAUAGCCUCAAUCAAAGCCCCUGCUACGAGCCUCUCAGCACUGAGUUAAUAAAUCAUGGCUCUAAUGAAAGAUGGGCCAGUGUCACAGCACAGAACUGCUAGGCUGUGGCACAGCCCCAUUUGUUAAAGCAUCUUCCCGUUGUUUUGGUGUCAUCUGACUUUUGUUCCUCUCUGUUUGCCAUCCUUGUUGCUUUAAGUGAGCUCUGUUAAAAUCCUUUUUUCUGCUCCUCUCUUGCUUGUUUAUUCUCCAGCAUCCGGAGGUUUUCUCACCGUUUCUUGCUGCGCUUCCUUGACUUCCUUCCUGCUUGACUGUUUUCAAUCCUCACUCCUUUUUGCUUUCCUCCACUCCUUCUUUUGCAAUGCUUUUUUAAAAUCUCAAGCCCACAUUUGUUUAUUUUCCUCUCGUCUCUCGCUCCCUUACACUUUAGUGUUUUCUGUGACAUCCCUUUCCCCGCCUCCCUGUCCAGUUUGCUGUUGUGCCUUGGUCUUGGCGGGUACGCUGUGUGGUGAACAGAGCUGCUGUGAGGAGGUAAUUAACUGCUCCUCAUUUAGACAUGAGGCUCAGUCAAUGCAACCAAAUGCCUACACAUGGGCUUGCAUUUUAAUUGUGGAGGCCACAGGCGCGUGCACACACACACACACACACACACACACAUACACACACCAACUCAAAUGACCUUGGACAAAAGAUCAGAUCACGAGUCCCCCUGAGGGAUGCGGUCAAACGUCUUCUCCAAAUCCACAAAACACAUGUAUACCCUCCAGGAUCCCCCUAAGGGUAUAGAGCUGGUCCAGUGCUCCAUGGCCAGGACGAAAACCACAUUGCUCCUCUUGAAUCUGAGGUUCAAUAAUCCGACGGACCCUCAUAUCCAGAGCACCUGAAUAGACCUUACCAGGAAGGCCAGGAGUGUGAUCCCCCUGUACUUGGAAUUCACCCUGCAGUCCCCCUUUUUAAAUAAUAGGACCACCACCCUGGUCUGACAGUCCAGUGGGACUGCCCCCGAUGUCCACGCGAUAUUGCAGAACCGCAUCAGCCAACACAGCCCCACAACAUCCAGAGCCUUAAGGAACUCCGGGUGGAUCUCAUCCACCCCUGGAGCCUUGCCACAGAGGAGCUUUUUAACCACCUCAGUGACCUCGCACCAGAGAUUUGAGAGGCCAACCCAAAGUCCCCCAGAGUCUGCUUCCUCACUAGAAGAUGUGUCGAUGGGAUUGAGGAGGUUAUCGAAGCAUUCUGCCCACCGAUCCACAACGUCCUGAUCAGAGGUCAGCAGCAUGCCGUCCCCACUAUAGAUAGUGUUGGUAGCGCACUGACAC